AACUGACUUGGAGCUGGUGUUGUUGCAGCUACCACAAGUUAUUGAAUUGAUGAUUAUCCUGAGUAAAUUGCUUCUAAAUGGAAAUUUCGCCAUAAGUUAACGACAACGAUGAUGAUAAUUGUUGAAUUGAGGGUUUAUGGGCGGUAUUUGCGGUGGUCAAAAGAAGUCGAAUAAAGAGAAAACGGGUUAGGGCUUCUCUGGAUGUGUUCGUUUCUAAUAUGGCUUUCAAGUGUCAUGAUCAUUUUCUUUGUCCAUUCACUUGCAAUCGCAACCAGGAUGCAUGCGAGAUCUAUUCCAAAGAAUCAGGCGACUUUGGCUCUAGGUAAGAGGAUACGUUGGAACCAUUACCUCUUCACUAGGUUUUAUUCUAACUUAUCAUCAUCUGAAUAUGAUUCCAGCCUGAAUAUUGCUUUUGGCAAGGUUCGCAAACACUUUUUGUACAAACUAUAUUUUUUUGUUAAUUAGGGCUUAUGACAAGGAUGCUUCGAAAUUCAGUCGAAGAAAGGCACUCACUAAUUUUGAACCCAACUCAUGUGAUGGAAAGUUAAGUCCCGGGACCGAAAAUGAAGGUUGAAGUUGUUAGUGGUUAGACAAAGAGGUUGGCUGAGAAUGAUGUUACCAGUCUUCAAGUGAGUGAAUUAGAAAAACUGAAGAAGUAAGGAAAUGAAUAAUGUGACCUUGGCAAUGAUGCAUUGAACCUGUUUUGCUUAAAUGCCUCAUCGAAAUCUGGUUUUUUGGAACACGAUGAUUGCAAGAUGUUUAAAAUCUUAUAGAUGGAAAAAGUGACAUGAGGAAAUGCAAUACUCCAAAAACAGAUUUCAGAUGGAAAAAAAGUGAAAAUAUGAACAAAUGCGAUACUACUAAGACAAUAUCUCAGGUAUUAUAUGUGAAAGUUCAACACCGACCUGAUUUUGCGUUUUGAAUCAUUGGAUAAAAGCUUGCUGCAAAAGGAAUUUAAUUUAUUAGUUUAAGUUAAUUAGAUUUAGUUUGUAAAAUUUAAUUAAUUGAAUUAUUUUUUUUAUAGUUGAGUCAGGAAAGGAUGUUUGGACUCCAAGCUAAUGGUGUAUACUGUAUAGAUAGUUGCCGUAGCGUUUUGUUAGUUGCCGUAGCGUUUUGUUCUAAGUCUGAGUUCAGGCUAAGUGAUGUGACUAUGGAAUGUUAAUGUAACAAACACUUGGGUUUUAUUAA